UACAUAGGUCUCAACCGUUGUUCGGAUUCAUUGGGCGUAAAGGGUGCGUAGGCGGUCGGGUAAGUCGGAUGUGAAAUCCCAGGGCUCAACCCUGGAACUGCAUUCGAUACUGCCUGGCUAGGGUACUGGAGAGGAGACUGGAAUUUACGGUGUAGCAGUGAAAUGCGUAGAUAUCGGAAGGAAGACCAGUGGCGAAGGCGAGUCUCUGGACAGUUACCGACGCUGAGGCACGAAGGUAAGGGGAGCAAACGGG
rnacentral:rRNA from 1 species